AAUCCCAUUUAUCCUAUGGGAGGUUGCUGCUAUAGGGAUUCGACUAAGACAUGCAAGUCAGAGGAUUCGCAAGAGUUCUCGGCGUAAUGCUCAGUAACACGUCGAUAAUCUAACUUUAGGUCUGGAAUAUCCUUGGGAAACUGAGAGUAAACCCGGAUAAGAAAUUGACACUGGAAUCGUGCAUUUUCUCAAAAGUAAUGCCUAAAGGUGAGUCGGCGGCUGAUUAGGCUGUUGGUGAGGUAAUGGCUCACCAAACCUAUGAUCAGUAAGGGCCUUGAGAGAGGAAGCCCUGAGGAUGGUACUGAGACACGGACCAUAGCCCUAAGGGGUGCAGCAGUCGCGAAAACUUUACAAUGCACGAAAGUGCGAUAAGGGAAUCCCUAGUGCCAAUUUAUAAUUGGCUUUUGCCAAGUGUAAAUAGCUUGGCGAAUAAGUGGUGGGUAAGACCGGUGCCAGCAGCCGCGGUAACCCCGGCGCCACGAGUGGCAACCACGUUUACUGGGUCUAAAGCGUCCGUAGCUGGUUCUAUAAAUCUCCUGUGAAAUCGUUGGGCUUAACCUAACGGCUUGCAAGAGAGACUGUAGAACUUGAGACUGGGAGGAGACAGAGGUAUUCUUUGGGGAGCGGUAAAAUGUGAUAAUCCAAGGAGGACCUCCAGUGGCGAAGGCGUCUGUCUAGAACAGGUCUGACAGUGAGGGACGAAAGCUAGGAGAACGAUCCGGAUUAGAUACCCGAGUAGCCCUAGCUGUAAACGCUGCGAGCUAUGUGUUGCAUGUUCUUUGGGAACCUGCAGUGCCGAAGUGAAGAUGUUAAGCUCGCCACCUGGGAAGUAUGGCCGCAAGACUGAAACUUAAAGGAAUUGGCGGGGGAGCACACAAGGGGUGGAAUGUGCGGUUUAAUCCAAUACUACGCGGGAAAUCUCACCAACGGCGACGGCAGUAUGAAGGUCAGAUUAAAGGUUUUACCUGACAAGCCGAGAGAUGGUGCAUGCCCAUCGUCAGCUCGUGCUGUAGGGUGUCCUGUUAAGUCAGGCAACGAGCAAGACCUGUAUCUACAGUUGCAAUCAUAUCCUCCGGGAUGUGAGCACAAUGUAGAGACUGCCCGUGUAAAUGGGAGGAAGGUACAGGCAACGAUAGGUCAUUAUGCCUCGAAUCUGUUGGGCUACACGCGCAUUACAAUGGUAAGGACAAUGGGAUGCAACUCUGAGAAGAGAAGCUAAACCUCUAAACCUUAUCCUAGUUCGGAUUGAGGGUUGUAACUCACCCUCAUGAAGUCGGAAUCCCUAGUAAUCGUAGCUCACUAUACUACGGUGAAUAUGUCCCAGCUCCUUGCACACACCGCCCGUCAUCUCAUCCGAGCAGGGUCUAUGUGAGGUUUGAUAUGCUUAAAUCGAACAUAGAUUCAGUAAGGAGGGGCAAGUCGUCACAAGGUAGCCGUAGGGGAACCUGCGGCUGGAUCACCUCCU
rnacentral:rRNA from 1 species